rnacentral:rRNA from 1 species
AGCUUAAAGUUUUAUUUUAAGUGAAAUCUGCCCACUGAUUUAUUAAAUGGCCGCAGUACUUUGACUGUGCUAAGGUAGCAUAAUCAAUUGGCUUUUGAAUGAAGUCUAGAAUGAAGGGGUUAAUGAAAUCUAGCUUUUUUUAUUAAAGACUAUAUUAAAAUUACUUUGUAAGUGAAAAAGCUUACAUUUAAUAAAAGACGAGAAGACCCUAAGAGUUUAAUUUUUGUUGGGGCGACAUUUAACUAAACUUUUAUGAUUAUCUUAGAAUAGGUUUUCUAAGAACAGAGAAACUACCUUAGGGAUAACAGCAUAAUCUAUUUAUAUGGCUUAUGACCUCGAUGUUGGAUUAGGUAUUUUUAAAAACAGAGUUUUUAAAUUUUUAGUUCUGUUCGAACCUUUUUACCUACGUGAUC